rnacentral:pre_miRNA from 1 species
UUCAUACUCCCUUCGAUCGAAAAUACUUGUCCUAAAAAUAGAUGUAUCUAAACUUUUUUUAGUUACAGAUACAUUCAUUUUAUACAUUUUUAGGACAAGUAUUUUCAGACGGAGGAAGUAUAAU